rnacentral:rRNA from 1 species
GACGAACGCUGGCGGCGUGCUUAACACGUGCAAGUCGAACGGAAAGGCCCUGCGUUUGUGGGGUGCUCGAGUGGCGAACGGGGGAGUAACACGUGAGUAACCUGCCCUUGACUUUGGGAUAACUUCAGGAAACUGGGGCUAAUACCGGAUAGGAGCUCCUGCUGCAUGGUGGGGGUUGGAAAGUUUCGGCGGUUGGGGAUGGACUCGCGGCUUAUCAGCUUGUUGGUGGGGUAGUGGCGUACCAAGGCUUUGACGGGUAGCCGGCCUGAGAGGGGGACCGGCCUCAAGGGGCCUGCGGUACGGCCCAGUCGCCUACGGGCCGCAGCAGUCGGGAGUCUUGCAGAACGGCCGGAAGCCUGAGACGGCGACGCCGCGUGCGGAAUAACGGCCUUCGAGGUGUAAACCGCUGUCGCCUGUGACGAGGCGGGCGUGACGGUAAUGGGUCAAGAAGCACCGGCUAACUACGUG